UAAACGACUCUCGGCAACGGAUAUCUCGGCUCUCGCAUCGAUGAAGAACGUAGCGAAAUGCGAUACUUGGUGUGAAUUGCAGAAUCCCGUGAACCAUCGAGUCUUUGAACGCAAGUUGCGCCCGAAGCCUUCUGGCUGAGGGUACGCCUGCCUGGGCGUCACGCA
rnacentral:rRNA from 1 species